UAAAUUAUAUUCAUUAUUAUUAGAAUAAUAGGAUUCGAACCUAUAUUAAUGAAAUCAAAAUUCAUUACCUUAA
rnacentral:tRNA from 2 species